GUGGAGACUUUCUUGCUGCUUUCUUGGGGAAUUUUCACAGGGCUUUCUCUGCCAGUGCCUUCCGAAGACUCCUGAUGCAUUGGCCCAUACAACCUGGGGAAGGAGGAGGGCACUGCUGUGCCCAUCAACCAGCCUUGCAGCUGGUAGUCUCCAAGAUAGGCUGGACGCUAGCCUACCUGGAAUCCCCAUGAACUGGUGACACACUGGUCAUCGGGUUAUUGGAUAGCAAGAAUGGAGUGCACUGUGAUUGCUGGUCUUCAGGACAGUCGCAAAGUCUGCGAACAUGCCCUGAGCUGGGAUAACUGCUCAGUCUUACAGAUAACCAGGAACUCACAGAGCAAGAUUUUUGUUUGGUUUGAGGAGACUGAGUCUUGCUGGGCCCCAUUGACCCUUCCCCUUCAGCCUGAAAGGAGCCAGGAAAACAGGAAUGGGCGAGCCAAAUCUUUUGUUCUUUGCUUAGAUUCUACCCAACAGGGAUUAAUGUUGUUAACAUUUUGAGAUUAUCAUUGCUUAAAGAGAAGUGUUGGCACCGAGUUUUGAGUUUCUUCCUCUCUGCAGCACACACCCCCUCAGGCACUGGAUAAUUUCCGUCACUGCAAAUGGAUACCAGGGAAUCACUGACCAGAUCAUGAUAAUGAGAAAGAAUCCCUUGUCCCUGAGCAUUUAGUGUGUUCCCAACUUUAGGACUGUUUCAAAUUAUAUUGGUUAUAUUAAAAAUAAACGGUGAGCACAUGGCAGUCAAAAAGGAUAGGAUCAAGAAUUUGAGACCAGCAAAUCUGAGACUGUUUCAAAAAUGAAACAGAAGGAAGCAAAUAACUGUGUGACUUGGUCACUCGUGUCUGAUAAAGGGCAUGAGCUAUAACUCGGGAGGUAGACCAAGACAAGCUAUGUUCCAAGGAUGCAGUCAGCUUUCACCCUCUUAUUUUAUCCUAGAGAAAAUUUAGUCAACAAAGCUAAAUUACCCCUCCGGUCAUAGGACAAGCAAGUAAAUGUGGCAGCCAAAUAAUUGAAAUCAGAGGACUGACUCCCUUUUACUUCCUGUCUUGUGCUCCUACCUGGUUUAUAUUUAAAGUCAAUUCCUAUAUCAAAAACAUAUACAGAGCUGGAAAUGUAGCACCUGCCUAGUGUGUGCACUUCCCUGAGAUCAGUACCCAGAAUAACAAAGAAAAAGAAUAUUAAAAAUGUAUUUAAGGACUGGAGAGAAGGCUCUCAACCAAAAAUAUAAGAGUUCGGUUCCCAGCACCCACAGCUGUCUCUCCA